rnacentral:lncRNA from 1 species
CCCUGGUUGCAACCAUAUUUUCAGGAGAUCAAAGAGAGUUACCGACGGUCAUUUCAAUUUAAAAUAUGAAAUUGGAAGAAAUCCUAAUGGCAACACAAAGAACACCGAGAUCAAUAGACAAAUCUGCCUGAACAUCAGAUAGAUUCCCUAGUAGAUGAGCAAACUAGGAGAAGAUCCACCAUUUUUACUUUCGGAGUAAAUGGGAUCUCUCCCGAAACGAUCUGAG